CCGCCGGCGACCGGCGCACGGGUGAGUAACACGUAUGCAACCUGGCCGUGACAGAUGGAUAACCGGGAGAAAUCCCGCCUAAUACAACAUAAUGCCGGGAGGGGACAUCCCCUGCCGGCCAAAGGGGGCGACCCCGGUCACGGAUGGGCAUGCGGCGCAUUAGGUAGUUGGUGGGGCAACGGCCCACCAAGCCGACGAUGCGUAGGGGUUCUGAGAGGAAGGUCCCCCACACUGGUACUGAGACACGGACCAAACUCCUACGGGAGGCAGCAG
rnacentral:rRNA from 1 species